rnacentral:rRNA from 1 species
AUUGAACGCUGGCGGCAGGCCUAACACAUGCAAGUCGAGCGGAUCUUCGGACGGGUGGUUACUGCCUAGUUAUCUGCCUGGUAGUGGGGGAUCACGUCCGGAAACGGGCCCUAAUACCGCAUACUAUCAGAUGAGCCUAGGUUGGACUAGCUAGUUGGUGGGGUAAAGGCCUACCAAGACGACGAUCCGUAACUGGUCUGAGAGGAUGAUCAGUCACACUGGAACUGAGACACGGUCCAGACUCCUACGGGAGGCAGCAGUGGGGAAUAUUCGAAAAUGGGCGAAAGCCUGAGCGAGCAAUGCCGCGUGUGUGAAGAAGGUCUUCGGAUUGUAAAGCACUUUAAGUUGGGAGGCGUUACCAACAGAAUAAGCCAUGGCUAACUGCGUGCCAGCAGCCGCGGUAAUUC